rnacentral:rRNA from 1 species
GACGAACGCUGGCGGCGUGGAUUAGGCAUGCAAGUCGAACGGUAGGAUACCUUCGGGUAUCUGAGAGUGGCGAACGGGUGAGUAACACGUAGGUGAUCUACCCUCAAGAUUGGGACAACCCAGGGAAACUUGGGCUAAUACCGGAUGAAAGCAGCAGUGAUGUUGUUUGAAAGGUGGCGUAAGCUGCCGUUUGGGGAUGAGCCUGCGCUCUAUUAGUUAGUUGGCGGGGUAAAGGCCCACCAAGGCGAUGAUAGAUAGGCGGCCUUAACGGGUGGUCGCCCACACUGGGAUUGAGAUACGGGCCCAGACUCCUACGGGAGGCAGCAGUCGAGAAUAGUCUACAAUGGCCGAAAGGCUGAUAGUGCGACGCCGCGUGAACGAAGAAGCCCUUCGGGGUGUAAAGUUCUUUUUAUAUGUCGGAGCAGUGCUUCUUAUAUUUAACAGUAUGGGGAGAGAGGAUAUUAGCAAGUAUUGAAUAAAGCAACGGCUAACUCCGUGCCAGCCAGCCGUCGGUAAA